ACCUAGCUGGCUCAGUCGAUAGAGCAUGUGACUCUUGAUUUCAAGGUUGUGAGUUCAAACCCCACGCUGAGUG
rnacentral:tRNA from 1 species